rnacentral:rRNA from 1 species
UAACGCGUGAGGAACCUGCCUCAAAGAGGGGGACAACAGUUGGAAACGACUGCUAAUACCGCAUAAGCCCACAGCUCGGCAUCGAGCAGAGGGAAAAGGAGCAAUCCGCUUUGAGAUGGCCUCGCGUCCGAUUAGCUAGUUGGUGAGGUAACGGCCCACCAAGGCAACGAUCGGUAGCCGGACUGAGAGGUUGAACGGCCACAUUGGGACUGAGACACGGCCCAGACUCCUACGGGAGGCAGCAGUGGGGAAUAUUGCACAAUGGGGGAAACCCUGAUGCAGCGACGCCGCGUGGAGGAAGAAGGUCUUCGGAUUGUAAACUCCUGUUGUUGAGGAAGAUAAUGACGGUACUCAACAAGGAAGUGACGGCUAACUACGUGCCAGCAGCCGCGGUAAAACGUAAGUCACAAGCGUUGUCCGGAAUUACUGGGUGUAAAGGGAGCGCAGGCGGGAAGACAAGUUGGAAGUGAAAUCUAUGGGCUCAACCCAUAAACUGCUUUCAAAACUGUUUUUCUUGAGUAGUGCAGAGGUAGGCGGAAUUCCCGGUGUAGCGGUGGAAUGCGUAGAUAUCGGGAGGAACACCAGUGGCGAAGGCGGCCUACUGGGCACCAACUGACGCUGAGGCUCGAAAGUGUGGGUAGCAAACAGGAUUAGAUACCCUGGUAGUCCACACCGUAAACGAUGAUUACUAGGUGU